UUAUCUUUGUUCAGUAUUGGUGUCGCUCUGAAAUAAAAUCAGCGCGAUGAAAAGGGAAUGCGGUGUGAAUCCGCGACAGUACCCGCUGCUGUGAUGCCCGAUCGUUCUAACGAUGAUGGCUUUAUGAUAACCUGCCACUGUCCCGAGGACUCGGGAUGGGAAGGCUUCAUAAGGCCGGGACAAGUCAGAAGACCUGCCAGACAAACCAUGUUCAA
rnacentral:ncRNA from 2 species